UACGUAGGGUGCGAGCGUUGUCCGGAAUUAUUGGGCGUAAAGGGCUCGUAGGCGGUUUGUCGCGUCGGGAGUGAAAACACCGGGCUUAACUCGGUGCUUGCUUUCGAUACGGGCAGACUAGAGGCAUUCAGGGGAGAACGGAAUUCCUGGUGUAGCGGUGAAAUGCGCAGAUAUCAGGAGGAACACCGGUGGCGAAGGCGGUUCUCUGGGAAUGUCCUGACGCUGAGGAGCGAAAGUGUGGGGAGCGAACAGGAUUAGAUACCCUGGUAGUCCACACCGUAAACGUUGGGCGCUAGGUGUGGGGCCUAUUCCAUGGGUUCCGUGCCGCAGCUAACGCAUUAAGCGCCCCGCCUGGGGAGUACGGCCGCAGAGCUAAAACUCAAAAGGAAUUGACGGGGGCCCGCACAAGCGGCGGAGCAUGCGGAUUAAUUCGAUGCAACGCGAAGAACCUUACCUGGGUUUAACAUACACCGGAAAGCGCCAGAGAUGUGCCCCUUUUUGUCGGUGUACAGGUGGUGCAUGGCUGUCGUCAGCUCGUGUCGUGAGAUGUUGGGUUAAGUCCCGCAACGAGCGCAACCCUCGUCCUAUGUUGCCAGCAAGCUUCGGGUGUUGGGGACUCAUAGGAGACUGCCGGGGUCAACUCGGAGGAAGGUGGGGAUGACGUCAAGUCAUCAUGCCCCUUAUGUCCAGGGCUUCACGCAUGCUACAAUGGCCGGUACAAAGGGCUGCGAUGCUGUAAGGCGGAGCGAAUCCCAAAAAGCCGGUCUCAGUUCGGAUUGGGGUCUGCAACUCGACCCCAUGAAGUCGGAGUCGCUAGUAAUCGCAGAUCAGCAACGCUGCGGUGAAUACG
rnacentral:rRNA from 1 species